rnacentral:tRNA from 13 species
GCCUCGGUAGCGCAGUAGGCAGCGUCAGUCUACAAUCACUGCAGAGUAAUCUGAAGGUCGUGAGUUCGAUCCUCACCGGGGCA